AUACGGAGGAUGCGAGCGUUAUCCGGAUUUAUUGGGUUUAAAGGGUGCGUAGGCGGAAAGUUAAGUCAGCGGUGAAACGCAGGUGCUCAACACCUGACCUGCCGUUGAGACUGGUUUUCUGGAAUGCGGAUGCUGUGGGAGGAAUGUGUGGUGUAGCGGUGAAAUGCAUAGAUAUCACACAGAACACCGAUUGCGAAGGCAUCUCACAAAUCCGCUAUUGACGCUGAGGCACGAAGGUGCGGGGAUCGAACAGGAUUAGAUACCCUGGUAGUCCGCACAGUAAACGAUGAUAACUCGCUGUCGGCGAUAGACAGUCGGUGGCCAAGCGAAAGCGAUAAGUUAUCCACCUGGGGAGUACGACCGCAAGGUUGAAACUUAAAGGAAUUGACGGGG
rnacentral:rRNA from 1 species